rnacentral:rRNA from 1 species
UACGUAGGGAGCAAGCGUUGUCCGGAAUCAUUGGGCGUAAAGCGCGCGUAGGCGGCCCUGUAAGUCCGUUGUGAAAGUCAAAGGCUCAACCUUUGAAAGCCGAUGGAUACUGCAGGGCUAGAGUCCGGAAGAGGCGAGUGGAAUUCCUGUGUAGCGGUGGAAUGCGCAGAUAUCAGGAGGAACACCUGAGGCGAAGGCGGGCUACUGGGCCGAUACUGACGCUGAUGCGCGAAAGCCAGGGAGCAAACGGG